rnacentral:tRNA from 1 species
AAAAAGAUAAGCUAAUUAUUAAGCUAAUGGGUUCAUACCCCAUUUAUAGAAGUCCAUCCUUCUUCUUUUUA